rnacentral:rRNA from 1 species
AGAAUCAACGCUGGCGGCGUGCCUAACACAUGCAAGUCGCACGAGAAAGGGACUUCGGUCCUGAGUACAGUGGCGCACGGGUGAGUAACACGUGAAUCAUCUACCUCCGAGUGGGGAAUAAACUGAGAGAAAUCUUAGCUAAUACCGCAUAACACUUACGAGUCAAAGCAGCAAUGCGCUUGGAGAGGAGUUCGCGGCAGAUUAGUUAGUUGGCGGGGUAAUGGCCACCAAGACGAUGAUCUGUA